CAAGAAGGCAUGAUGGUCCCAUAUAACACUCAAAUGCAAGUGUGCCAGCCAGGACCGUCCAACAUGAUGUCAGAAAUGUUCAGCGACCCCAAGGAGGAGGAAGAAGUUUCUAUUACGAAGAAAAAGUGGGUCAUUGUGCAGACUUCUUCUGGACCCCGGCGAGUCCGGGCCACCAAUAAAAUUCAUUUCUCAUACUGAACUUCUGAACAAACACCAUGAGUGCUGAGUUCCAGCUUCACCUGCUAUGAUGUCAGAUCU